UAGAUUUGCAUGUAUAAGCUCCUUGCAUAGGAGCUUAUACCACCAUCCAAGGGUAGGUCUAAUGUCAUUAUCAAAGUUGUUGACCACAUAAGAUUUUGUCUUCAUUCAUUUCCUCUGCAGAAGCCAUGAAUGAAACAUACGUUCUAUCUAAUCCAUGACAGACUCUCCAGGUGUACUGAAGUAAAGAUUUCUCAAUGAAGGCCAGUUUGUGUUUUCAGAAUCCAGUGAGUGAUCUUGGGCUUUUACCUGAGUUAACCUGCAACACAUUGCUGCUAUGUCAAUGUGCCAAUCUGUCAGGCUUUGUUGUUGACCCAUUGACGCAAACAUAGGCCAGCCUCACUGUAUUUAAGCCGGCUUUCCUCAACUGCAAGGAGAGAUAUUGACGUUGAACAAGAAGUCGUCUACAUACACUAGAGCCCACAAGAACCUGACUUUUGGAAAAAUCUGAUAGAGACAUUGUACGGGAUGAGCUCGGGAAAUAGCGAUAAGAGUGGUAGGACCAACAACAUCCAGAAGAGGACCACCUAAAUUCAAACAGAGAAUGACAAGACAAUUUAAAAGCAAACCUCCCAAGAAGUGAGUCAAAGGAUUUGGAGAUGAGAUCCCAGGAAUGGACGGUCUUGGCACUGACAUCACCGUGGUGUGUCCGUGGGAAGCCUUUAGCCAACUGGAGUUGCACGAACUCGCCCAGUAUGGUAUUAUUUGAAACGGACGACAGGAAGAUGUGCCACCUGGACUUGUUUAGUGGAUUAGACUAGCUCCACCUCUGGAUCCCCAAAUGAGGGAUGCUGCAAACUGACACUUGCGCCAUUGCCUUGAUACUCUGCAACAGUUGAGUUGUAUAGACGCCAACCCACCAGCCUAUGAAUGAACAAUACAUAUAGGCCUAAUGUAGUGAUUAUUGAGAUGCAGGAGAUACAGGAUGAUAGAAAGUUGUAGAAUGUGGAACAAUGUGGGAUUUGAUUUAUCUGUUUGGGUUCUUUUCUACAGCACAUAACCAAAAUACUUAUUUUCAAUAUAUAUUUUAUUUGUGUUAUAUUUUGACUUUUUUAGCAGAUGUACUCUGAGAGGAGAGGCCUUGUUAGCUGUUUAAAGGGGUCAUAUGAUGCAAUUUCAAUUUUUCCUUUCUCUUUGGAGUGUU